UACAGAGGGUGCUAGCGUUGUUCGGAAUCAUUGGGCGUAAAGCGCACGCAGGCGGACGCGCGCGUGGGGUGUGAAAUCUGGCCGCUUAACGGCCAGGCGCCAUCCCAUACGGCGCGUCUGGAGUGAUGCAGAGGUCGGUGGAAUUGCCGGUGUAGUGGUGAAAUGCGUAGAGAUCGGCAGGAACACCCAGGGGGAAACCAGCCGACUGGGCAUCUACUGACGCUGAGGUGCGAGAGCGUGGGGAGCGAACCGG
rnacentral:rRNA from 1 species